AGCUCCAAUAGCGUAUAUUAAAGUUGUUGCAGUUAGAACGCUCGUAGUCGGAUUUCGGGGCGGGUCGACCGGUCUGCCGAUGGGUACGCACUGGCCGACGCGUCCUUCCUUCCGGAGACCGUGCCUACUCUUAACUGAGCGGGGGCGGGAGACGGAAUUUUUACUUUGAAAAAAUCAGAGUGUUUCAAGCAGGCAGCUCGCUCUUGCAUGGAUUAGCAUGGGAUAAUGAAAUAGGACUUUGGUGCUAUUUUGUUGGUUUCGAACACCGAAGUAAUGAUGAGAAGGGACAGUCAGGGGCACUCGUAUUCCGCCGAGAGAGGUGAAAUUCUCAGACCAGCGGAAGACGAACCACUGCGAAAGCAUUUGCCAGGGAUGUUUUCACUG
rnacentral:rRNA from 1 species